AGAGUUUGAUCAUGGCUCAGAAUCAACGCUGGCGGCGCGCUUAACACAUGCAAGUCGAACGAGAAAGGGGAGCAAUCCCUGAGUAAAGUGGCGUACGGGUGAGUAACACGUGGGUAAUCUACCUCUGGGUGGGGAAUAACCCUGGGAAACCGGGGCUAAUACCGCAUAACACUGAAAGGUCAAAGGCGCAAGUCGCCUGGAGAGGAGCCCGCGGCUGAUUAGCUAGUUGGUGGGGUAAAGGCUCACCAAGGCAUUGAUCGGUAGCCGGCCUGAGAGGGCACACGGCCACACUGGCACUGAAACACGGGCCAGACUCCUACGGGAGGCAGCAGUGGGGAAUCUUGCACAAUGGGGGAAACCCUGAUGCAGCGACGCCGCGUGAGUGAUGAAGCCCUUCGGGGUGUAAAGCUCUUUCGGCAGGGACGAUAAUGACGGUACCUGAAGAAGAAGCUGCGGCUAACUACGUGCCAGCAGCCGCGGUAAUACGUAGGCAGCGAGCGUUGUUCGGAGUUACUGGGCGUAAAGAGUGCGUAGGCGGUCUUCUAAGUUUGGUGUGAAAUCUCCCGGCUCAACUGGGAGGGUGCGCCGAAGACUGGAAGGCUUGAGUAUGGGAGAGGUAAGCGGAAUUCCUGGUGUAGCGGUGAAAUGCGUAGAUAUCAGGAGGAACACCUGCGGUGUAGACGGCUUACUGGACCAUAACUGACGCUGAGGCACGAAAGCGUGGGUAGCAAACAGGAUUAGAUACCCUGGUAGUCCACGCCCUAAACGAUGCAUACUUGGUGUGGGUAGUUCAUUCUAUCCGUGCCGGAGCUAACGCGUUAAGUAUGCCGCCUGGGGAGUACGGUCGCAAGGCUGAAACUCAAAUGAAUUGACGG
rnacentral:rRNA from 1 species